rnacentral:rRNA from 1 species
UGGGGAAUAUUGCGCAAUGGGGGAAACCCUGACGCAGCGACGCCGCGUGGGUGAUGAAGGCCUUCGGGUCGUAAAGCCCUGUCGUAGGGAAAGAACUGGUUGCAGGCUAAUAUCCUGCAGCCUUGACGGUACCCUACAAGAAAGCACCGGCUAACUCCGUGCCAGCAGCCGCGGUAAUACGGAGGGUGCAAGCGUUGUUCGGAAUUACUGGGCGUAAAGAGCGUGUAGGCGGCUGACCAAGUCCGGUGUGAAAGCCCGGGGCUUACCCCGGAAGUGCGCUGGAAACUGGUCGACUAGAGUAUGGGAGAGGGAUGCGGAAUUCCAGGUGUAGCGGUGAAAUGCGUAGAUAUCUGGAGGAACACCGGUGGCGAAGGCGGCAUCCUGGACCGGUAUUGACGCUGAGGCGCGAAAGCCAGGGGAGCAAACGGGAUUAGAUACCCGCGUAGUCCCUGAGCGGGCUGGCAAGGCGCAU